rnacentral:rRNA from 1 species
GGCGCACGGGCGCGUAACGCGUAUGCAACCUACCUUUUACUGGGGGAUAGCCCGGAGAAAUCUGGAUUAAUACCCCAUGGUACCAAAUGGUCGAAUGACUGAAUGGUUAAAGAUUUAUCGGUAAGAGAUGGGCAUGCGUCUGAUUAGCUAGUUGGCGGGGUAACGGCCCGCCAAGGCGACGAUCAGUAGGGGUUCUGAGAGGAAGGUCCCCCACACUGGCACUGAGAUACGGGCCAGACUCCUACGGGAGGCAGCAGUAGGGAAUAUUGGGCAAUGGUCGCAAGACUGACCCAGCCAUGCCGCGUGCAGGAAGACGGCCCUCUGGGUUGUAAACUGCUUUUAUCUGGGAAGAAAAAGUCCAUGCGUGGAAAAUUGCCGGUACCAGAUGAAUAAGCACCGGCUAAUUCCGUGCCAGCAGCCGCGGUAAUACGGAGGGUGCAAGCGUUGUCCGGAUUUAUUGGGUUUAAAGGGUGCGUAGGCGGCUGAAUAAGUCAGCGGUGAAAGACUUCGGCUUAACCGGAGCAGUGCCGUUGAUACUGUUUAGCUUGAGUGUUGGAGGGGUACAUGGAAUUGAUGGUGUAGCGGUGAAAUGCAUAGAUACCAUCAGGAACACCGAUAGCGAAGGCAUUGUACUGGCCAACAACUGACGCUGAGGCACGAAAGUGUGGGGAUCGAACAGGAUUAGAUACCCUGGUAGUCCACGCCCUAAACGUUGAUUACUCGCUGUUGGCGAUACACUGUCAGCGGCUAAGCGAAAGCGUUAAGUAAUCCACCUGGGAAGUACGACCGCAAGGUUGAAACUCAAAGGAAUUGACGGGGGCCCGCACAAG